rnacentral:rRNA from 1 species
UACGUAGGGUGCGAGCGUUGCCCGGAUUUAUUGGGCGUAAAGGGCGCGUAGGCGGCUCGGCACGUCCGUUGUGAAAUCGCCCGGCUCAACUGGGCGGGGUCGGCGGAUACGGCCGAGCUAGAGCAAGCUAGGGGGCAAUGGAAUUCCCGGUGUAGUGGUGGAAUGCGUAGAUAUCGGGAGGAACACCAGUGGCGAAGGCGGUUGCCUGGAGCUUUGCUGACGCUGAGGCGCGAAAGCGUGGGGAGCAAACAGG